rnacentral:rRNA from 1 species
UACGGAAGGUUCGGGCGUUAUCCGGAUUUAUUGGGUUUAAAGGGAGCGUAGGCCGUCUGGUAAGCGUGUUGUGAAAUGUCGGGGCUCAACCUGGGCAUUGCAGCGCGAACUGUCAGACUUGAGUGCGCGGGAAGUAGGCGGAAUUCGUCGUGUAGCGGUGAAAUGCUUAGAUAUGACGAAGAACUCCGAUUGCGAAGGCAGCCUGCUGUAGCGCAACUGACGCUGAAGCUCGAAAGCGUGGGUAUCGAACAGG